rnacentral:ribozyme from 1 species
AGCAAUACUGCACUGGUAAGGUAUGGAUCCGAAGCCUGUUGAACGUUAACAUUGGCUCUCCAAACCCAAUUCGACUCAAUACGCCCCCGGCGUACAGAACGGUAACAUGUCCCUCCAAAUAUCUGAGCCUGGGUAUAUGGGGAAACCAAACCCCAUGGGAAGGUGGAUGAUAUGGCUAGCUAGCGUCUG